rnacentral:rRNA from 1 species
UACGUAGGGUCCGAGCGUUGUCCGGAAUUACUGGGCGUAAAGAGCUCGUAGGUGGUUUGUCGCGUUGUUCGUGAAAACUCACAGCUUAACUGUGGGCGUGCGGGCGAUACGGGCAGACCUUGAGUACUGCAGGGGAGGACUGGAAUUCCUGGUGUAGCGGUGGAAUGCGCAGAUAUCAGGAGGAACACCGGUGGCGAAGGCGGGUCUCUGGGCAGUAACUGACGCUGAGGAGCGAAAGCGUGGGGAGCGAACAGG